UACGAAGGGGGCUAGCGUUGCUCGGAAUCACUGGGCGUAAAGGGGCGCGUAGGCGGCGUUUUUUUUUUUUUUUUUUUUAAGUCGGGGGGCGAAAGCCUGUGGCUCAACCACAGAAUGGCCUCGAUACUGGGACGCUUUGAGUAUGGUAGAGGUUUGGUGGAACUGCGAGUGUAGAGGUGAAAUUCGUAGAUAUUCGCAAGAACACCGGUGGCGAAGGCGGCCAACUGGACCAUUACUGAGCUGAGGCGCGAAAAGCGUGGGGGAGCAAAACAGG
rnacentral:rRNA from 1 species